CGGCCAUCCGUCAGUCUCAUUCCACGCACAUUUCCUGAGGACAGGGCGAGAGAAUCCAGCAGGCUCCCGGGGACCGUAAGUGCAACUCUGGUGUCGGGUGCGAUAGGGCGGGGCGGCAGAUAAGAUGCAAAUUCCAACUCCAGAAGGGCUCAGAGGCCAGGCUGGGGAGCUUGGACUUGAUCCCAAGGGUAAUAGGGAGCCAUGGGAGGCUAACGAGAAGGAGAGGGACAGUCUCUGGGUAUCAGAUGUGUUUGGGGUGGUGGGUGAGACCUCCAGGGGGGAGAGACAGGAGGCCAGGAGGAAGGUGGUCCAUAUAUGGUCCACAUAAGUGAGGGACCUUGGCCUGAAGCCCCGUAGACAUGGAGAAAGCAAUGAUUUUUAUAACCCAUGGUCUCUAGACUUCUAGAGAGAUCCAGCAGGGUCAGUAAUCCUGGAUGCUGUCUGCCAAAUUGUGCCUCCAUUCUUCCAAUAGUAAAAGAAGAAACAAGGCAAAAAUAAUUUUGAUGUUUUAUUUCAUUUAAUUUAGUGUCUCUUCGUUACUGGAAUUACUUGAUACAGUUGAUUCUCCGUAUUCGUGCCGGUUAUGGUCUAUAAAGUGAAUGCUGAAUUAGUGAAUAUGGAACCAUUGCCCCCCGGGGUGGGGAUACGGGAUUAGGUUCCUGGGAGCCCAAGUCAUAGUAUUUUCGUUAACGGAUCAACACGCAAGCUUGUUUUACAUGUGUUCUGUGUAAAGACGCCUCACUUCCGAUAUAUUGUUGAUUCGCUAACAUUUAAAUCCCAGCCACCAGCCCAGGGAACUCGUGCCCCCGAACGAAGCUUACCUAACACAGAUAUUUCUCUGAAAGACACAUCACAGCCUCCUCGAGCUCAGGAGCACCAGACAGCACUACAGCGUUGUGUUUGGGGGCCAGUUUAAACCGCAAAAUCAGCCACGAAAGGCACCAGACUGCGGACAAUGUGGCACUAACCAGGCUGCAGAAAGGACACUUGUUAACAGGGCGAGAGGUGAGGCAAGAAGGCAGAGGGUCUCCGUGCACCGCCACAGCUGGAAACGUGGGUGUCGGUGGCUCAGAUCUUUCGCGGCCCCGCACACGCCCAUCAGGGUGCCGGGACUUGAUAUGAGGGCUACAGAAAAUUUUUAGGGAGUAGGCGAGUUUGCAAACACGAAAUCCACGAUUGGCGCAAUCGACCGUACAUCCCAAACAUUAUCAGGUCAUCAUGCAAUUAAUAUGAAAACCAUCAGGGAGAUCGUUUACAUUCUCUUUUUGGUGCUAAGUCUUUGAAAUCCAAGGUGAAUUUGACACUCACAGGAGUUGUCAAUUUGGACCAGCCACGUUUCAAGUGCUUAAGAGCCACACGUGGCUGGUGGCUUCUGUGUUGGGCAGUGCAAGUCUCUAUGUCUUUCUUCAGAUUCUCAAAGGGGCCUGUGAACUCAAAAAAAUAACAAAAGGCCAAUGCCAGAUACAACCGCCUUGGAGAGCAUGUGGCAGGACCAGAGAAAGUGGGCCCUUGAGCACAAGGCAACGUGUCUGCAAAUAUUUUUUGCAAUCCUGCUUGAAAGAGCACAAUAUUGGAGGAAAGGUAAAGUGUCCCUCAUCGGAAGAAUGGGUCCAUCAACCAGAGCGUGUUCAUACACUAGAAUAUGCAACAUCUUUGCAAGGGAAAGAGCUUGAGCUCCAAGUACCCGUGCAGAUGAAACUCACAAACAAAAGCAAGCUGCAGAAGGUCACAGACGUGAUACUAUUUAUACAACAUUUAACAACAUGGAAGGAGACCGGCUGCAGCAGUUAUUCCUGUGUGUAUAUAUAUAUAUAUGUAGCAAAUGCAUUUUUAAGUUUUAUUUAUUUAUUUACUGUGAGAGCAAGGGAGCGAGAGGGAGGAGCGAGGGAGGAGCAGAGAGAGGGAGAGAGGGAAUCCCAAGCAGGCUCGGCAUUGUUAGCAAGGAGCCUGACCUCAUGAACUGCGAGACCAUGACCUGAGCAGAAACCAAGAGUCAGUCGCUUAACCAACUGAGCCACCCAGGCGCCCACAAAUGCAUUUUGAAAUGAAUAACAGGGCACCUAGGACGACUGGGUGGCUCACUCGGUUACAGUGUCCGACUUUGGCUCCGGGCACGAUCUUGCGGUCCAUGAGUUCGAG
rnacentral:lncRNA from 1 species